rnacentral:rRNA from 1 species
GCGAGAGCCUGAACCAGCCAAGUAGCGUGCAGGAUGACGGCCCUAUGGGUUGUAAACUGCUUUUAUAAGGGAAUAAAGUGAGCCUCGUGAGGCUUUUUGCAUGUACCUUAUGAAUAAGGACCGGCUAAUUCCGUGCCAGCAGCCGCGGUAAUACGGAAGGUCCGGGCGUUAUCCGGAUUUAUUGGGUUUAAAGGGAGCGUAGGCCGGAGAUUAAGCGUGUUGUGAAAUGUAUAUGCUCAACAUCUGCACUGCAGCGCGAACUGGUUUCCUUGAGUACGCACAAAGUGGGCGGAAUUCGUGGUGUAGCGGUGAAAUGCUUAGAUAUCACGAAGAACUCCGAUUGCGAAGGCAGCUCACUGGAGCGCAACUGACGCUGAAGCUCGAAAGCGCGGGUAUCGAACAGGAUUAGAUACCCUGGUAGUCCGCACGGUAAACGAUGGAUGCCCGCUGUUGGUCUGAAUAGGUCAGCGGCCAAGCGAAAGCAUUAAGCAUCCCACCUGGGGAGUACGCCGGCAACGGUGAAACUCAAAGGAAUUGACGGGGGCCCGCACAAGCGGAGGAACAUGUGGUUUAAUUCGAUGAUACGCGAGGAACCUUACCCGGGCUUGAAUUGCAGAGGAAGGAUUUGGAGACAAUGACGCCCUUCGGGGUCUCUGUGAAGGUGCUGCAUGGUUGUCGUCAGCUCGUGCCGUGAGGUGUCGGCUUAAGUGCCAUAACGAGCGCAACCCCUCUCCUUAGUUGCCAUCAGGUCAGGCUGGGCACUCUGGGGACACUGCCACCGUAAGGUGUGAGGAAGGUGGGGAUGACGUCAAAUCAGCAC